rnacentral:lncRNA from 1 species
UAUGCUAAUGGAGGCCACACUUAGCUCUGAUUCCCCUGAGAAUCAGGGUACAGAGAAACUGUGGAUGUCAUAACUCUAUGUCAACCACAAGAGUAGAGACAAUAUGAAAGGAUGCAUAACAGUUUAUUAAACAUGAGUAUUUUUCCAAUGCUUUAAAACACUUAAUUCUGCAGUUGCAUAGUAACAUAAGCAGCUUUAAUUUUCAUGAAUGGCCUUACAAGACAUGAGAAAAAUAAUUUUUGAAAUGCUCAAAUUGGUGGAAACAGAGGGAUUAAGAGUCAUCUUAUUGAAAGCUGGGGACAGGUGAUAUCCUUUAUCUAAUUUCUAGCCACUUGAUUUUGCAAUACUGAUGAUAAAAAACAAUAUAUGUUUAAUGGCAUAGUGAUAAAAUGAAUUGUGUUAAUUAAUCAAAUAGUAUGUCAAUUAUAGAUUUUAUAUUUAACAAAUCAGGGCUCAUGAUUUCUAUAUGAAUAUUUAUCAAUGAAUCAUAUGGACUACACCAACACAAACUUUAUUUCAUAUAUUUGGAAAAUAGACAUGUGUGUGUGUGUGUGUGUGUGUAUUUCUAUGUAUGUGUCUUUAUUGAUAUGAAUCUGGGCAGAUGAAUAAAUGAGUUUUUCAAAAAGCAGGUAGGAAUAGAUAAAAAAAAAAAAAAGAAGUGAUUGAAUGGUAUAGCACUGAGAACCACCCUACUUUAACUUCUGAUGCUAGUAAAUAAAAUAUAUUUGAAAUAUCUGGGAAACCUGCCAGAUGAGAAAUAUUGAAUAUAUUUUCAAGUUUUUUUAAAGGUUAGAUUGAGGCAUAUAACAAAACAUCCUCAAAGAAUGGGAAAAAUCAGUCAAUCAUAUGUAUGUGGAUACAGGAUGCAAAGCAUCUAGCUAUGAUUGAAUGACUAAUUUUCACACUUCCUCUCAUCCUAGGCAUUUUACCCAAUAUUUAGAAUCAUGCAGAUAGAGUUGAACUAAUAAGCUUUGUAGGAUUUAAACAUAAAUAGGUGAAAGAAGAGAUAAUGUCUGUGAAAACAUUUUGAGAAUUGAAAAUGACCACAUAAAAUAUUGUUUUUAAUUAAUGACUCUGUUAACACCAUUAACUAUUAAGUCAUAGGAUAGAAGACAAAUGGCAGUUUUCUUGGGAACUUUCUAAUAGAUUAGAUUCCUUUGUUCUGUUCUUACGUGCUGGGACCAUGCAAGUAGGGAUGAGAAAGGAUGCUGAAAACAAGAUUCUGAAGCCAUUUCUUUCUUUGUGGAUCUCCGCAUUUCAAUUGUAUUUUUGGCUAAAAUAUUUCCUUUGUGAUAAGUUUAUUGAAUAGAUUUGAACAUAAUGAUUAAGAGCGUAAAUCAAGAGAACAAAAUUUGUUUUUUAUCAGAAGUGAGAUCUUGGGCAAGCUGUGUAAUCCCUCUAAGCCUUAUUUCCUCACCUGUAAAAUGUGGGAUAACAGUAAUUGUUAUUAUUUAUUUUCUGUAGGGUAUAUGCUAGUGCUUUCUUACAUUAAUGCUUACUCUUCAGGAUUUAUUUUAAGCAGUGUUCUAUAACAGCCUUAGCAUCUUGUCAGCACAUAGAAUCCCUUUAUCCACAUAAUAUUGAUUGCAUUAAAAAUUAGAAUCAAUAAUUCUAUUCAGUAUAUUUGCUGUUCCUUAAAAUAUAGCAAGUCAUGCAAUAUGUAAUCAAUAUAUUCUUGUUCUACUUUCACACUCAUCUCUCCAAUCUGUCAGAUUGAACCACAGUAUAGUAGAAGAAGGAUGAAGUAAAGUGAGCAAAAUCCUUAUGUCUAGUCCCUGAAGAGUGCCCACAUGCAAGACAGCAAGACCUCAGUGUCUGGGAACUGUCUAUAUCUGUCAUUCUGACCACAUGUCACCUCUGCUGGCUGUCCUUUCAUUCUCCAGUGCUCAGCCUCUUCACUUACACUGUUUCCAUCUGCUUUCUCACCUCCUGCAGACUAGCUGCAGCUUGAAAAUCCCAUCUCCCUCAACUAUGCUUAUUCUCUCUCUAAGGGGCCUUACAUGACAUCAGAAAUACUUAAUGAUACAGUCUGAGUCAUACACAUUUGGAUUACUGUACCCUCAUUUUAGCUUGCCCAACAGUACUAAGUGAAUAUUCUUUUUGUAAUUAUAAGACUAUGAGUGAUUCUGGGCCCCUUCUAAAAAAAGAAGUCACACUCUAAGAUAACUUGCCAUCGUGAAUCUGCAUCUAAGCUUUGCCAUCACUUUUAAUGCAAGUGUUUCAAGAAGGAUGACAGGUAGAUAAGUAGGCAGACAGAGAGACAGCCAUAGACCCAGAUCUGGACCUGUGCAGGUGUAGAUAUAUGGUAUAGAUCCUAAAUAUAGUCAUGGUUAAAGACAGAGCUCUAGAGUAUCUCCUGCCUCAUCUGUCCCUGGCUAACUGGGGUGAUGAAGGCUGCUGUAUGAACCCAGGAAGGGUGGUGGGGGUGUUCCCUUUAACAUAGCCCAGCAGUGGUAGUCUUCUGAACAUAGGCACAGAAACAUUUCCAUCAGCUUACACAGUUCUUUAGACUCACAAGAAACUGAGUUUAUUGUUAAGAAUGCCAAUUUAUUACUCUAAUUGUAGCUAAAGCUAGGAAUGAGGAUGGAUCAGCCACAUGCAGAGGGCAUAUGAGUGAUCAUAUACAAGUUCAUGGUAAGGAAAACACCCAGAGAAUGUUUGCCAUAAAAAUACUUGCACCAUAUCGAUAUAGCCUGGGGUAAUUUCCCUUUGUACUUUAAGGAUAUUUAUAUCUCAAGGGCAUUUUGGUUCAACAUGGGGCAACUCUGAUGAGUCAUUGUAGCUGCAGGGCACCCAGUGCGGUCAGACAAGGCUGUCAUUGCACUUGCAUCACAGCUCAAGAUUUUCUUCUGCUCCACCUGGCUCUCAUGUGAACAAGAGCUGGCCCUUGUGUAUUACAUUUGCAUUUCCUGUAUACCUAUCUUGGCUGCUCUAUUCACUACCUUUUUAUACCUAUCCAUUCUUUUUCUCUUUUUUUCUAAAGUUUUGUUCCCUUUGAAGACUCUUGCUCUUAAAACAAGGAGUAUCCAAAUUCAUCACUUAAAAGUCAAUCUUCCUACAGGUUUCAUCAUGGAAUUUUUGAAUCUAUUCUGAUUGCACUAGUUAUCCUUUAGUGAAACUAUUUUUAUUUCACAGACUUAGAGUCUCUCGAACUUGGUAUGCAACUCUGGGCAAAAGCAUUUGAAUGUGUGUUUUUCAUUUUGAUUAAGAAAUGAGAGCACUUUGAAGAUACAUCCAUGAUGCUGGCUACCCGUAAAGAAAAUAAACUGAGUGUCAAUGGAACAGACAGAGAAUCAGAGAACAAAAGAAAGUCAAGAGAUUUACCCAAGAGAGAAUGGUAGCAGAAACAGACUCGGGGGCUUUAUGGAGAGAGGAACAUAUUAACUCCUGACCUACAAGAAAGUUGGGCAGGACUUCCCUGACAGACUUCGUACUAAACAGCUGUCCCAAGACACUGAAGUGAGGAUGGCCUCACAUAACUCCAGGGUCUUACUGUUGCCCAGGCUGGAGUAUGGUGGCAUGAUCACCGCUCACUGCAGCAGCCUCUAUCUCCUGAGUUCAAGUGAUCUUCCCACAUCAGUCUCCUGAGUAGCUGGGACUACAGGCAUGCACCACUAUGCCUGGGUAAUUUUUGUAUUUUUUGCAGAGAAGGGGUUUUUCCAUGUUGCCCAGGCUGGUCUCGAACUCUUGAUAUCAAGGGAUCCACUCACCUUGCCUCCCAAACUAUUGAGAUUACAGGUGUGAGCCACUGCAACCAGCCUUGCAGUCAUUAAUCUUUAUGCUGCUCAUAUUAUUGCAGAUUAGGCUGUGGGAUCCUCUCUUAAAAUGGGCUUUUGUGCCCCUUUGACAUGAUCCCAUAUGUUUGUGCUAGCUUUCUAGCAUGAUGGUAUAUGCUGAACAAAUCCAGUAUAUUUCCUGAUCAGACCCGGAAGCAAUUUUUAUCAAGGAGUCCUGGUUUCCUUGAGAGAGAACUGGUAUUUAGAGACCAUAAUGUGAGCUGUAGGAGUGUUUCUUUCUACUGCGUCAUUACUUCUGCGUUUUCGAUGGAAAGAACUAGAAAAUACCCUCCUUCUUUUAGAGAGAAUAAAAUAUGGGUUAUACUGAUAUUUCCAAUUUAAAUAUAAGAUUACAUGAUUGCUACUCAAAUUCUUGGAUUUGAUACUUGAAUCUCUUCUCUUAUUCUAAAAAUCUUGAAUUCUAAUAAAAUCAAUAUAAUUAAUUAUUUUCUUUAUCAUGGAAAGCAUCUAUAAUGAUUUGAAAAUAAUUUCAAAAUUUUGUUAACAAGUCUACAGAAUCUUUCAAAUUUUGUUGCAGUUAUUUUGGAUCUUGGAAUAUAUUCCAUUAGAGAUUUGCUGUUAAGGUACUAUGUUUUAAAAGCUCAUGAAGUAAUUUAUUUCCCUGUUUGAUUGUGCUGUUAAGGUCAUAUGCAGUAGGUUCAUUUUCUGUGGUCUGGUUUUGAUUUUUAAAAAUCACUUUUAAAUUAUUAUUUAAAUUACGUAAAUUAAAAAUGUAUAUGGCUCCAGUCAAAAUUAUGUGCAUAAAUUCAGAAAAGUUUGCUUUCAUUCCUGUCUUAUCCUCCUUUCAUUGGUAAACAUAUCUUAGCCUUAUUCUUCCAUUAAAUCAUUGUGAAAAUAUUAAAAACUACGUAUGAAAAUUUGAUUCUCUCUUUUCUUAUACAAAAGUUAGAAAACUAUUAAUAUUGUUCUCCACUUGUAUUUUUCACUUAACAAUAUAUCCUAGAAAUUACCAGCAUAUAGAUGUCUUCCUUGUCCCAUUUUACCAUUGCAUAGUACUCCCUUGAGUGAACAUGAAUAACAUAGUUAAUUUAACAAGAUUGUUGUAAGACUGCUAUUGCUGGACAUUUGGCUCUUUCUUUUCUAUGAUGAACAACACUUUCAUGCAUAGCUUAUAUAUAUAAAAUUUUCCCCCACUUAAUCUUUGAGAUAGAGUCCUAGAAGUGGGAUUACUGGGUCAAUGGAAAAUAAAUACACAUGUAAUUUGGUUAUAUUUUAUCAAAUUUUCCUUCAUGUGUGUUAUGUAAUUUUGCAUUUCUACCAACAAUACAUGGCAGUACUUGUUUAUCCACAGUUUUAUCAAUGAGAAGUAUGGAUUUUUUGCUAAUUUGAUCAGUGGAAAGUAGUUUCUUAGUGAGUCAACAUUUAUAUCUGUCUUAUCAUGAGUGAGGCUAAAUAUUGUUUUCUGUGUUUAAAGGCCAGUUGAAUUAAUUUUUCUGUAAACUGU